CUCCUAUUCUGCAGAUUGUCCUUUCACUUUAGUUUUUUUAAGCAUUAAAACAAUUUCUUUACAGGGGAGGUAAUUAGAUGUAUUGAUUUAUUUUAUUUUUUUUGCUAAGCAUGUACUCUGUCACUUGAUAUACCCCCUUCCCCUGUCAUUUCACUUUCUUGAUGAUGUAAUUUGUAACAAAAAGGUUUUAACUUUCAUGAAGUCCAGUUUAUCUGCUUUUUUCUUCUAUCACUUGUGCUCUUCGUAUUGUAUCUAGGAAACCAAAGCCUAUCCUAGGACCACAAAGAUUUAUACUGUGUCUUCUUUUAGAAAGUUUAUAGGUUUAGUUUUUACGUUUCUGUCUGUGAUCAAUUUUGAAUUAAUUUUUAUUUAUUUAAAAUAUGGGGGUCCAGAUUCCAGAUUCAUUCUUUUGCCUGCAGAUACUCAGCACUCCCUGCACCAUUUGUUGAAUAGACUAUUCUUUCAAUGGAGUGUUGUUGACACCCUUGUGGAAAACUGACUGUAAAUAUAAGGAGACUGAGAAUUAGGUCUUCUGUAUUUUGGAUGGAGCUCAUUAUCAAUGACAGGAAGUUGUAAGGAAAAAGAUAUUGAUUCAUCCUGAGAAAAUAUUUUUCUGACCGUCAGCAGUGAAGAGGGUGAACACUGAAGAAGGUGAUCAUUGUUUGAGUGAGACGAGCCCCGGAUUGUACGGAGUCAGCAUCCCUGUCCUGGACACGGCACGUGUAGAUCUGUGUGGUGGGUGAGGCGGCGAGGCCGCGCAGGGAACGCGGAUGCCGGGCCAUUGGGCUGUGCUCAGGCCUGGUGGGGCUUUCUCCUAAGGGCAGUGGACCGUCAUUGACAGAUCUUAAGUAGGGGAGUGGGGUGCUCUCGUAGAUCACUUUUGUCUUGUAGAAUGCUUAGAAACAUUUAGAAGGCUCUGCAGGAGGUGAUGUGAUGAGUCAGAUUAGGGUGGCUGCCAGGUGUAGGAGUGUAGAAUUUUCAAGUGGUUUUCAGUCCCAGUUUUGUGGCUGAGUAGCUGUGUCACUUUGGAUGAUGCACUCAAGGAAGUAAACAAUUUAUCUAAUCAAUUGAAGAAGUGAUGUACCGACCUCCCAGGACUGCUGUGGCGAUCCAGUGAGAUAACGUGUGCACAGUGUGCAGCGUGGUCCCCAGCACACAGUCAGUGCUGAGUGAGUGCCAGUGAGUACCUGGUAGGUCAGGUGUGGGUGGUGGGACUCGGUGACUGAGGAAAUCUGGGCCCUGAAGGUGGGGUCCAGUCACAUCUGUGAGUGAUGGGCCUGAGCUGGGAGAGGCAGGGAGACCUUGCCCCCCGACCAGGGGCCCUGGGUAGGACGGCUAUGGGAGGAGCACCGUGAAGUCAGCUCUUUGCAGGUGGAGCUCGAGUUGCCUUUGAGACAUCUAAGUGCAUUGUCAUGAGCUCAAAGAGGAGGUCUGGGCCCGGGCUGUGAAUUUUCCUAUAAUCUUAAUCCCUGAGGACGCCGAGGUAUUGAUCAUUGAACGUGAAGACAUACUUUACAGGACAAGUGAAUAGUAUUAUCAUCUCUGUCAUCAAAGCUCACAUCUCUUUAUUCAUCACAAGUUUGCUAUUGGGUACUUACAGAGCUCACUUCACCGCCAUCCCCUGGGCUCAGGCUCCACAGUAAAGAGCUGGUGAGCCUCCCUCUUUUCCAGAAGAAGACACAUUUAGCUGGUAGAAUUCUGUACCUCGCCAGACUUAGAAUUUUAGUUUGUUUUUUUAAUUCUAUUUUCUGUUAGCCAUCUCCUGACAGGAGAGACGUUUUACCUCAUGGGCAUAUUUCAAUUAGCUGUUACUGAGAAUUGCUGAUCUGAUCCAUAGUGUAAGUAUUAUAUUAACCUUGUAGAGUAUUUAUCAUUUUUCUGUCUUUGCCCUUUAAUUUUGUAUGCCCCUUGAAGUCUCUAUCCUAUUUGGGGCCUUAUUUUUUUUAAUUAAAAAAUGUCUAUUUGCAGUUAAGAAAACAAAAGAAAAGAAAAAAUACACAUGAUAGCUAAACUUAGAAAA